ACAACAGCAAAAAAAAAGGGUUGGAAAUUACAAAAUGUAUUUUCUGUAUGUCUGUUACAGUUGUGCUACAAAACAAAAAAAAAACAAAAAAAGAUUUAGUACCGAUCAUUAUUUAACUGGUUAUAUUUCAGAGAAAAAAUGAAGUCUUUGGUGGUCCUGAAUAUUGAUCACUACCUAUUGUUUCUAAAUUGCAUAUUUGCAUUUGAAAUGUAUUGUUUGUAUUUACAUACUUGUAUUCAUAUAAUGAUAUAAGUAUAAUUGUUCUAAUUGGUUUGAAGUAGAAGUGGAAGUAUGUGCUUCCAGCCUCAAUAUUAUAAUUAAAGUUUCG
rnacentral:lncRNA from 1 species